AUUGAACGCUGGCGGCAGGCCUAACACAUGCAAGUCGAGCGGCAGCGGGAAAGUAGCUUGCUACUUUUGCCGGCGAGCGGCGGACGGGUGAGUAAUGCCUGGGAAAUUGCCCAGUCGAGGGGGAUAACAGCUGGAAACGACUGCUAAUACCGCAUACGCCCUACGGGGGAAAGCAGGGGUCCUUCGGGCCUUGCGCGAUUGGAUAUGCCCAGGUGGGAUUAGCUAGUUGGUGAGGUAAUGGCUCACCAAGGCGACGAUCCCUAGCUGGUCUGAGAGGAUGAUCAGCCACACUGGAACUGAGACACGGUCCAGACUCCUACGGGAGGCAGCAGUGGGGAAUAUUGCACAAUGGGGGAAACCCUGAUGCAGCCAUGCCGCGUGUGUGAAGAAGGCCUUCGGGUUGUAAAGCACUUUCAGCGAGGAGGAAAGGUUGAUGCCUAAUACGUAUCAACUGUGACGUUACUCGCAGAAGAAGCACCGGCUAACUCCGUGCCAGCCGCCGCGGUAAGAC
rnacentral:rRNA from 1 species